GCACUAAUCCUUGAACCGAUAUUAUUGGACACGAUGAAUGGUUCGCGCUUCGUAGAGGCUAAAGCGUCCACGGUACCUAAUCGACAAUUCGCCGGAGACUCAGACAUUGGCGGGUUUGGUCUUACCAGUUUCGUUAUGCGUUGGCCUUCUAUCAGUCGUCCUCAAUUCUGCUCAUCGUUAUGUCGAAAGUUGGUUUCUUGAACAGACCAAAGAAGGCCAUGAUCGCUUCGGUACAAAAAAUGACGUUGAAGUUGAAGGAGGACGACGGCUACAAAGAACUUAAUCUCCACGAGUAAUCGAAUAAAAUAUGUAGA